rnacentral:lncRNA from 1 species
AUGCCAGUAUAUAUCAAGCCAAGUCAUUCUGGCUUUGAGUCUUAUUCUCCAUCUAUAUCAUCAAAGAAACAGCACAUCAUCCAGAAAAGCAGCAGGAUAAGAACAGAUCAGUUGUUGUCCAGCACAGUACCAAAUGCACAGCUCCAAUUUCUGCUCGUCUUUCAACAGUAUGGAGCCAUCUCCAGAAAACCUAAGGGCAACGCCGUCGGAUCGGGGCUCUCACAGGCCCUAUGUUGAGGGAAAGGCUUAGAAUAGGGACAACAGACACUCGGCUCUGCUUUCCGGGAUCGGAUGAAGGAAGUAUCCACAGGUUCCUUCCCAGCAAUGUGUCUUCCCUCAGCCUGCUUGGGUGCGCUCUGCUCUAACCAAGUGUCCCAAGUGUAGCGGGCUCAGGGGGCCUGGAUAGCCUGAAAAAAUGGAGGCCUCGAGGCAAGCCCCGGGCAAAAAACUCUAUCAAAACUCUGGAAGGGGUUAAACAAACCCGCAAGCCCUGAAGCUACAGACUGGCUACUUCUCGUGUGUUAUCCAUAACAACAGGUCGGAGGCAGCCCUAGCAGGAGGCCCACCCAUCACCAGCUCAAGCAAGCUCUCCUCUUCUCCAGAAUGAGUCUCGGGCUUGAAGGUAGGAAAACCCAGAACCCGGAAGGGGCAAG